UGUGACCAUGUAAAAACAUCUCUUUUUAAAGUAUGCGAAAGGUACUAUAGGAAUUUUCAAGCAAUAUAAAGAUAAGAUAGAAUCUUAUGCGAUUAGCCGAUUACUGUACUCUCAUAUGCCCCGCGGCCGGGUUCAAGAUACAAGACAUUUUAAAAAAUUAAAUAUCUCCAUCAACAAUUACUUAAUUAAUUAAUUUAUGAUUUUUAUAUCUAAGCUCGUGUUCCUUCUUCUCAAUUAAAUAAGGAAGGAUAUUAGUAGCAGUGAUAGUAUAUGGACAUCUCUCUAUAAAUUGUUGCAUGCAAGAAUGAACUGAUACAAGACAAAUUGAAUAUAAUUAAGCUGUUAACAAACAAACAAUUCUAGUUGUUUCUUUCUUUUGAUCAAACAAUGGCUUAUGUUAAGCUCGCUAUUUUCGCUGUCUUCCUGCUUACCGCAUUCCUAAUAUUCCCGAUGAAAAAUGCAAAAGAAAGUUGUCCGGUCGUGGGUCGUCAUUGUUCAUUUUCACAAUAUGUUGAGGGGACACCAUGCGGCAAUGGAGGUUGUCGUUGUAUACCAUGGACAAUGGGAUUAUGUGUGGGUUUUUGCGUAGAUCUGUAAUGAAUUAUAUAUAGGCCCCAGAGAAUAUAAUAAUCCAAGUUGCAUUAGUUAAGUUAUGUGAUUAAUCAUAUUUUAGAAGGAUCUAGAUGAAUUGAAUUGA